UAGUAACUGCGAGUGAAGCGGGAAAAGCUCAAAUUUAAAAUCUGGCGGUCUUUGGCCGUCCGAGUUGUAAUCUGGAGAAGCGUUUUCCGCGUCGACCGUGUACAAGUCUCCUGGAACGGAGCGUCAUAGAGGGUGAGAAUCCCGUCUUUGACACGGACUGCCGAUGCUAUGUGAUGCGCUCUCAAAGAGUCGAGUUGUUUGGGAAUGCAGCUCAAAAUGGGUGGUAAAUUCCAUCUAAAGCUAAAUAUUGGCGAGAGACCGAUAGCGAACAAGUACCGUGAGGAAAAGAUGAAAAGAACUCUGGAAAGAGAGUUAAACAGUACGUGAAAUUGUUGAAAGGGAAACGCUUGAAGUCAGUCGCGUCUGCUGGGGAUCAACCUUGCUCUUUUGCUUGGUGUACUUCCUAGUUUGACGGGUCAGCAUCGGUUUUGAUCGCUGGAAAAAGGGUGGAGGAAUGUGGCAUCUUUCGGGUGUGUUAUAGCCUCUGCUCUCAUACAGCGGUUGGGACCGAGGAACUCAGCACGCCUUUUUUGGCCGGGGUUCGCCCACGUACGUGCUUAGGGAUGCUGGCAUAAUGGCUUUAAGCGACCCGUCUUGAAACACGGACCAAGGAGUCUAACAUGCCCGCGAGUGUUUUGGGUGGAAAACCCGGACGCGUAAAUGAAAGUGAUAGUUGAGACCUUCU
rnacentral:rRNA from 1 species